rnacentral:rRNA from 1 species
UAGCUUGCUACUUUGCUGACGAGCGGCGGACGGGUGAGUAAUGCUUGGGAACAUGCCUUGAGGUGGGGGACAACAGUUGGAAACGACUGCUAAUACCGCAUAAUGUCUACGGACCAAAGGGGGCUUCGGCUCUCGCCUUUAGAUUGGCCCAAGUGGGAUUAGCUAGUUGGUGAGGUAAUGGCUCACCAAGGCGACGAUCCCUAGCUGGUUUGAGAGGAUGAUCAGCCACACUGGGACUGAGACACGGCCCAGACUCCUACGGGAGGCAGCAGUGGGGAAUAUUGCACAAUGGGCGCAAGCCUGAUGCAGCCAUGCCGCGUGUGUGAAGAAGGCCUUCGGGUUGUAAAGCACUUUCAGUCAGGAGGAAAGGUUAACGGUUAAUACCCGUUAGCUGUGACGUUACUGACAGAAGAAGCACCGGCUAACUCCGUGCCAGCAGCCGCGGUAAUACGGAGGGUGCGAGCGUUAAUCGGAAUUACUGGGCGUAAAGCGUACGCAGGCGGUUUGUUAAGCGAGAUGUGAAAGCCCCGGGCUCAACCUGGGAACUGCAUUUCGAACUGGCAAACUAGAGUGUGAUAGAGGGUGGUAGAAUUUCAGGUGUAGCGGUGAAAUGCGUAGAGAUCUGAAGGAAUACCGAUGGCGAAGGCAGCCACCUGGGUCAACACUGACGCUCAUGUACGAAAGCGUGGGGAGCAAACGGGAUUAGAUACCCCGGUAGUCCACGCCGUAAACGAUGUCUACUAGAAGCUCGGAGCCUCGGUUCUGUUUUUCAAAGCUAACGCAUUAAGUAGACCGCCUGGGGAGUACGGCCGCAAGGUUAAAACUCAAAUGAAUUGACGGGGGCCCGCACAAGCGGUGGAGCAUGUGGUUUAAUUCGAUGC